CUGGAACCUCGCAAACUUGGGCCAUCCUUUGCUCGCCUGCCCUGUCCUCCAGGCCUGGAAAUCUCUGGGUUUCUGGCAUCUCCGAGCUCCCGUUCCUUUGAAACUUAUGCAAAGGUCUUUUUUGACUGGGUGGGGCCCCAGACGUGUGGCGGGUCCUACUCUGCGACCUCCUCAGGGAGCUAGGUCUCGUAGGAGCAAGGAAACAGAGCACGCGCGUGGGUAUUUGGAAAUGGAAUUCUCCACUGUGGAUGGACCCAGAUGUGGAAUGAAUCCAUUCUCAGCCCACAGGCUCUCCGGAUCUCCAUUAGCUCCAGCCUCAGCCCCAGCCCGCCCAGCGCCCCGGCCAGGGCUGGGAGCCCACAGUCUGGCAUUCCUGCAUGCAUUCCCACACCACACUGUGCCCGUGGCGAGAGGCAGGGGGCUGAAGAAGCUGCGUGCAUGGAGGGCCCUGGGGCACGGGGAUGAGCAGCCAGGCUCAGUCCCGGGAGCACCCAGUCUAGAUGGGAAAGACCAGGAGAUCCCCGCAUCUGAGUGGGUGAGGCCCAGGCUAACCAGCCCGUCAUCUCAUCUGAGCCAGGAGCCGCCCGAGAUCCUACCCUCCUCACCCUGGGCUGCCCCGCUGAGGGACCACAGGUUUGCCACAGACAGCCCUGAACGUCACUUCAUACAAGCUCUUCUACGACAAGGGUUGACGCACGCACGCUUCGCGUUAGACAGGCAGAAAUUAUUCAAAUACUUGUUGGCUAAAAUGCAGAAGCAAUUUCUUUAAAAC
rnacentral:lncRNA from 1 species